GAAGGUAAUGGACUAUUGACAGAAGCAACAAUGAAACAUGCCUUUGACUUGCCAUCUGUGACGAGUAAUCCAUCUGGUGACUCUAACUCCGUGUCGGUUUGUGACUUCACAUGUGAUGGUAAAGUUUGAUCUCAUACAAGGCAAUAAUGAUUUGCUUUUAUUUUGGGAGUUGGAUCAUCGUUCUCUGCACUGGUUGGUGAUUAUGACAUAGCAAAGAAGGAAGACAACAUUGGGUUGAGAACGAUGGGAAACAUCCUGGUUGUGAUGAACAAAGAUCAGCAGUCUCUGAAUACUUCCGUGUUUAUAAAGGGAAAUGAGAACAGUGCCAAAAAUGUCGAUCUGAUGGGUCAUUCUCAUCAACCGUUUCUCGCGAGAUCAUGUGUGGACUUUUUAAAGAAUUUCUUUGAGGAUGAGUUACAUGCAACUCAAAGUAUAUUCUCAAGCAAAGAAAAAUAUGAGAAGAUACUUGGCAUGAUAACAGAUGAAGAGCUGAGAGGGGAGUG